rnacentral:rRNA from 1 species
GACGUAGGGCGCGAGCGUUGUCCGGAUUUAUUGGGCGUGAAGAGCUCGUAGGCGGUCUGUCGCGUCGGAUGUGAAAACCCAGGGCUCAACUCUGGGCCUGCAUUCGAUACGGGCAGACUAGAGUACGGCAGGGGAGACUGGAAUUCCUGGUGUAGCGGUGAAAUGCGCAGAUAUCAGGAGGAACGCCGGUGGCGAAGGCGGGUCUCUGGGCCGUAACUGACGCUGAGGAGCGAAAGCGUGGGGAGCGAACAGG